GCCUCGAUGUCCUCCUCGCCCGCCGCUCCGUUCAGGGUGGAGACAUUCUUUGACGGCGCCGGUGCCGCCAAAACCGGUUCGUUCUAGCCACCGCCGCCAUGUUCAUGCCCGCCGCGCGCGCUGCACGGAGCAGGUGGUAGGACGUUGCUGCGACGAGUUCGCUGGGUGUCGUCGGCACAAAAUGCCCGGCUGCUGCGUGCCGUUGUGCAGUAAUCACUCGAGGAAUGGUUGGCGAAUGUUUCAGUUCCCAAGAGAUACAAAAAGAAGAAUUUUGUGGACUGCAAGGAUCAAGCGGGACAAAUGGCAGCCCACGAACACCUCGUGCAUAUGCAGUGCUCAUUUCGAAGAGGACAGCUUCGAGCAAAACAGAGCAGACGGAUGGAAAAAACUAAAGCCAAAUGCGGUGCCAACAGUGUUUUCCUUCAGACCUUUGCCUCGUCACAGAAAGGCACCAAAGGAUAGGACCGGACCCGCUGUACUCUCGGC
rnacentral:lncRNA from 1 species